rnacentral:rRNA from 1 species
GACCCCGCACAAGUAGCGGAGCAUGUGGUUUAAUUCGAAGCAACGCGAAGAACCUUACCAGGUCUUGACAUCCUCUGAUCGCCUUAGAGAUAAGGCUUUCCUUUCGGGGACAGAGAGACAGGUGGUGCAUGGUUGUCGUCAGCUCGUGUCGUGAGAUGUUGGGUUAAGUCCCGCAACGAGCGCAACCCCUGUGGUUAGUUGCCAGCGGUAAGGCCGGGCACUCUAGCCAGACUGCCGUAGAUAAUGCGGAGGAAGGUGGGGAUGACGUCAAAUCAUCAUGCCCCUUAUGACCUGGGCUACACACGUGCUACAAUGGGAUGUACAGAGGGUAGCGAAGCAGCAAUGUGGAGCCAAUCUCAAAAACAUCUCCCAGUUCGGAUUGCAGGCUGCAACUCGCCUGCAUGAAGUCGGAGUUACUAGUAAUCGCAAAUCAGAAUGUUG